rnacentral:rRNA from 1 species
CGGCGAUACCCGAAUGGGGAAACCCAGUGUGACUCGUCACACUAUCAUUAACUGAAUCCAUAGGUUAAUGAGGCGAACCGGGGGAACUGAAACAUCUAAGUACCCCGAGGAAAAGAAAUCAACCGAGAUUCCCCCAGUAGCGGCGAGCGAACGGGGAGGAGCCCAGAGCCUGAAUCAGCAUGUGUGUUAGUGGAAGCGUCUGGAAAGGCGCGCGAUACAGGGUGACAGCCCCGUACACAAAAGCGCAUGUGCUGUGAGCUCGAUGAGUAGGGCGGGACACGUGGUAUCCUGUCUGAAUAUGGGGGGACCAUCCUCCAAGGCUAAAUACUCCUGACUGACCGAUAGUGAACCAGUACCGUGAGGGAAAGGCGAAAAGAACCCCGGCGAGGGGAGUGAAAAAGAACCUGAAACCGUGUACGUACAAGCAGUGGGAGCACCCUUUGGGUGUGACUGCGUACCUUUUGUAUAAUGGGUCAGCGACUUAUAUUCUGUAGCAAGGUUAACCGAAUAGGGGAGCCGGAGGGAAACCGAGUCUUAAUUGGGCGUUAAGUUGCAGGGUAUAGACCCGAAACCCGGUGAUCUAGCCAUGGGCAGGUUGAAGGUUGGGUAACACUAACUGGAGGACCGAACCGACUAAUGUUGAAAAAUUAGCGGAUGACCUGUGGCUGGGGGUGAAAGGCCAAUCAAACCGGGAGAUAGCUGGUUCUCCCCGAAAGCUAUUUAGGUAGCGCCUCGUGAAUUCAUCUCCGGGGGUAGAGCACUGUUUCGGCUAGGGGGCCAUCCCGGCUUACCAACCCGAUGCAAACUGCGAAUACCGGAGAAUGUUAUCACGGGAGACACACGGCGGGUGCUAACGUCCGUCGUGAAGAGGGAAACAACCCAGACCGCCAGCUAAGGUCCCAAAGUCAUGGUUAAGUGGGAAACGAUGUGGGAAGGCCCAGACAGCCAGGAUGUUGGCUUAGAAGCAGCCAUCAUUUAAAGAAAGCGUAAUAGCUCACUGGUCGAGUCGGCCUGCGCGGAAGAUGUAACGGGGCUAAACCAU